CCGUGCUCCACGGGGAAUUUGCGGCUCCCUCGACUCGAACGCUUUAUGCGAGGUGCAGAGCCUGCUGUGAGGCUUGUAUUCUUGCAGUGGACAAGGGUAAAGUUGUUGAUAAUUUAAUAUACGGUGGCACAAACCGUUGAACCGUGUCAGGGUGGAAACACAGCAGCACUAAAACGUAAUUUGUGGGUGUCGUAUUUUUAAAUAGGAGAUUUUAUUCUUGAAAGUUGUAAGGGUAUUUGUCGAUAGGUAGAGGCACGG
rnacentral:SRP_RNA from 1 species